CACCCAGGACGGUGGAUCACUCGGCUCGUGGGUCGAUGAAGAACGCAGCAAAUUGCGCGUCGACAUGUGAACUGCAGGACACAUGAACAUCGACGUUUGGAACGCACAUUGCGGUCCAUGGAUUCCGUUCCCGGGCCACGUCUGGCUGAGGGUCG
rnacentral:rRNA from 1 species